rnacentral:rRNA from 1 species
CUACGGGGCGCACCAGUGGGGAAUAUUGGACAAUGGGCGAAAGCCUGAUCCAGCCAUGCCGCGUGGAUGAAGAAGGCCCUAGGGUUGUAAAGUCCUUUCGGUGGUGAAGAUAAUGACGGUAACCACAGAAGGAGCCCCGGCUAAUUUCGUGCCAGCAGCCGCGGUAAUACGAAAGGGGCUAGCGUUGUUCGGAAUUACUGGGCGUAAAGCGCACGUAGGCGGCCUUGUAAGUUGGGGGUGAAAUCCCGGAGCUCAACUCCGGAACUGCCUUCAAAACUACAAAGCUAGAGGAUGUGAGAGGAUAGUGGAAUUCCGAGUGUAGAGGUGAAAUUCGUAGAUAUUCGGAAGAACACCGGUGGCGAAGGCGACUGUCUGGCACAUUUCUGACGCUGAGGUGCGAAAGCGUGGGGAGCAAACAGGAUUAGAUACCCUUGUAGUC